GUCGCCCCUUGCCAUGCUCAAGAUCCUCAGUCCUCACACACUUCAGCAAGCUCGCCAACCUCGGAGCCGCUAGAAGAUGAGCGGCAAUCCACUGCCGCCGGGGGCCUGGACUACCGGCCUCUGCGGCUGCUGCGAUGACUGCAAAAGCUGCUGCCUGGCGUUCUUCUGCCCGUGUGUCGCGUUCGGCCAGGUGGCGGAGACCUUAGACAAGGGCGCCACGUCCUGUUGUAUGGCCGGUACGAUCUAUUGCGCACUGUUGCACGCGGGAGUGUGCCUGCUCCACUGCCUCUACUCCUGCUCCUACCGCCGGAAGCUCCGGGCGGCGUACGGCCUGCCUGCGGAGCCAUGCGCCGACGGCUGCGUCCACUGGUUCUGCGAGCCAUGCGCGCUCGCCCAGAUGUACCGGGAGCUCAAGAACAGAGGCGCCGACCCGGCAGAUGGGACGGCGGCACAAGGCCAACAACUAUUGCCCUGCCCUAUUACAAUGCGGUCUAUGUAACCCCUUUUAGUACAAAAUAUUCUGCAAACUGGUGGUAAAUGGUAACAUUGCCCAGCCUGGAUGGGAAGCUCACUCACAGAAGACGUCCAUGGCUCCUGUACCAAUGCAAGACAUGACGCGUUGACGAGGAGUGUGUCGCAAGAAAUGCACUUGAUCAGCAGUAGUGUUGUGGCUAGCAGUACAUUUGUGAGUAUAUGUUUUGCUGGGGGUCCACGUCUGGAUCAGGUGUGAAUAUAGUUGUAAAUUAAGUGUAAAAAUAAAAUAUAAUCAUGAAGUUCUUAUAAUAUAUUAUCAAAA